UACGUAUGGUGCAAGCGUUAUCCGGAUUUACUGGGCGUAAAGGGAGCGCAGGCGGCGCGCCAAGUCUGAUGUGAAAGCCCGCGGCCCAACCGCGGGACUGCAUUGGGAACUACCGGGCUGGAGUGCCGGAGAGGUAGGCGGAAUUCCUAGUGUAGCGGUGAAAUGCGUAGAUAUUAGGAGGAACACCAGUGGCGAGGGCGGUCUGCUGGACAGCAACUGACGCUGAGGCGCGAAAGCGUGGGGAGCAAACAGG
rnacentral:rRNA from 1 species